GACGUAGGGGGCCAGCGUUGCUCGGAAUUACUGGGCGUAAAGGGUUCGUAGGCGGUGUGGCAAGUCGGAGGUGAAAUCUCCAGGCUUAACUUGGAGGCUGCUUCCGAAACUGCCGUGCUAGAGUGCGGGAGAGGCCAGUGGAAUUGCAGGUGUAGCGGUGAAAUGCGUAGAUAUCUGCAGGAACACCCGUGGCGAAGGCGGCUGGCUGGACCGCAACUGACGCUGAGGCGCGAAAGCUAGGGGAGCGAACGGG
rnacentral:rRNA from 1 species